CGCACGGGUGAGUAACGCGUAUCCAACCUGCCCUUNAUAUUGGGAUAGGCCUUCCGAAAAGGGAGAAUUAAUACCGAAUAACAUAUCAGAAUUGCAUGAUGCUGAUAUGAAAGAUCCGUCGAUGAAGGAUGGGGAUGCGUUUCAUUAGGGUAGUAGGCGGGGUAACGGCCCACCUAGCCAACGAUGAAUAGGGGUUCUGAGAGGAAGGUCCCCCCACACUGGGACUGAGACACGGUCCAGACUCCUACGGGAGGCAGCAGUGAGGAAUAUUGGUCAAUGGGCGGGAGCCUGAACCAGCCAAGUAGCGUGAAGGAUGACUGCCCUACGGGUUGUAAACUUCUUUUGUUUGGGAAUAAAAGACGCUACGUGUAGCGUUCUGCAUGUACCUUACGAAUAAGCAUCGGCUAAUUCCGUG
rnacentral:rRNA from 1 species